CAGCACCUCGGUCGCCGCGACGCUAGGGCCCCAAUAGGCAGGCAAUCGGCGCCACCCGCGUCCGGCGGAGGCCUCCAGCCAAAGCUCCCUCGCCCACGCCGUGCCUGCCGUCAGACAGGCCCCGAGCGACGGACCUGAACUCUACGUGACGCUUGACUCAACGACCAGCGAGAUUAAGCCCGGUUUAAGAGCGGCAUCAUCUCACUCAAGGAAACUAGAAAUUGUCGCCUGCCCAGUGCUCAGGAGGCUCGCAGUCUCUAGGAAAACUAUAGCACCGGGGUUUUUUUGUUUAUUUGUUUUUUGCUUUUUGUGCUUGUUGUUUGUUUCUGGCCGAACUCAAAGAGCAAAUAUUUCUCAGGCAAUUGCCAGACAGCGCCGACUUGAAACGUAGAGAGAUGCAAACGGCGCUCCGAGCACCUGAGACUUCAAGUCCCAGAUCAGGGCUGCUUUUGGUAUUCACUCCCAGAGAGCAGCCGCCACGCCCUGUUGAGACACACAUGCAGAAGCCUCGCCUGCAACACUCUCUUGUUCAGUUAUAAAAAUCUCGGUGGGGGUUGUUUUUCAACUCCUUAAGCUCAUCCAUCUCAUUGAGCAUCUGAUGGACUUGGAACUUGGAAGAGAGGAACUUCAGGCGACGGAUGAAGACUGGUGUGGGUACAGUCCACAGCCAGGGGGAGUUGUUCAGUGGCUUAGCUAUAUUCAGCCACCAAGUAGAACAUGUCCUACAAGACUGCAAGCCAAGUUUCAGAUGCCCUCUAGCUUUCAAAGGAGGAGCAGUUACUCCCUGGUAUCUGUGUGCCUUGUCCUUUCUUCCAUCUUUCUUUUAAUCUUCCCAUCUUUCUUUUUAUUUCUGCUUUCAUUUCUGCUAAACUCAUGGGUAUGAAGUUUGUCUUAUAAUUUGAGAACUCUGGAGUUCUCAAACUGUGUUUCACAUGUACUUAAUACUAUUAAAUGUUUCAUUUAAGUUCUUUAGUGUCCCAAACCCUGCCAUUUGCAGAUCAU